ACCUAUCAGAGCGCCCCAACACCUUGCUCAUGAUCUGAAUUACAUGGUGUGUGAGAAGGCUUGCUACGUGAUAAGCAGUGUCGAGUUUCCAGAUGGUCCUCCGGCAUCAUCAGGAGCCUGAGCCCUCUUUCUGGAAUGAAGAGAGAAUGACUAGGAGAGCUGAAUCCAGUGGGUUUGAUGGGAAUACGGACCUGUUGCUGGAGG